rnacentral:rRNA from 2 species
GUCUAGUAUAGCAAUUAUACCGCGAAACUGCGAAUGGCUCAUUAUAUAAGUUAUCGUUUAUUUGAUAGUACCUUACUACUUGGAUAACCGUGGUAAUUCUAGAGCUAAUACAUGCUAAAAACCCCGACUUCGGAAGGGGUGUAUUUAUUAGAUUAAAAACCAAUGCCCUUCGGGGCUCUCUGGUGAUUCAUGAUAACUUCUCGAAUCGCACGGCCUUGCGCCGGCGAUGGUUCAUUCAAAUUUCUUCCCUAUCAACUUUCGAUGUUUGGGUCUUGGCCAAACAUGGUUGCAACGGGUAACGGAGGGUUAGGGCUCGACCCCGGAGAAGGAGCCUGAGAAACGGCUACUACAUCCAAGGAAGGCAGCAGGCGCGCAAAUUACCCAAUCCCGACUCGGGGAGGUAGUGACAAUAAAUACUGAUGCAGGGCUCUUUUGGGUCUUGCAAUUGGAAUGAGUACAAUUUAAAUCCCUUAACGAGGAACAAUUGGAGGGCAAGUCUGGUGCCAGCAGCCGCGGUAAUUCCAGCUCCAAUAGCGUAUAUUAAAGUUGUUGUGGUUAAAAAGCUCGUAGUUGAACCUUGGGCCUGGCUGGCCGGUCCGCCUCACCGCGUGUACUGGUCCGGCCGGGCCUUUCCCUCUGUGGAACCCCAUGCCCUUCACUGGGCGUGGCGGGGAAACAGGACUUUUACUUUGAAAAAAUUAGAGUGCUCCAGGCAGGCCUAUGCUCGAAUACAUUAGCAUGGAAUAAUAAAAUAGGACGUGUGGUUCUAUUUUGUUGGUUUCUAGGACCGCCGUAAUGAUUAAUAGGGACAGUCGGGGGCAUCAGUAUUCAAUUGUCAGAGGUGAAAUUCUUGGAUUUAUUGAAGACUAACUACUGCGAAAGCAUUUGCCAAGGAUGUUUUCAUUAAUCAGGAACGAAAGUUAGGGGAUCGAAGACGAUCAGAUACCGUCGUAGUCUUAACCAUAAACUAUGCCGACUAGGGAUCGGACGAUGUUAUUUUUUGACUCGUUCGGCACCUUACGAGAAAUCAAAGUGCUGGCUCC